GAUGAACGCUGGCGGCGUGCCUAAUACAUGCAAGUCGAGCGAACGGACGAGAAGCUUGCUUCUCUGAUGUUAGCGGCGGACGGGUGAGUAACACGUGGAUAACCUACCUAUAAGACUGGGAUAACUUCGGGAAACCGGAGCUAAUACCGGAUAAUAUUUUGAACCGCAUGGUUCAAAAGUGAAAGACGGUCUUGCUGUCACUUAUAGAUGGAUCCGCGCUGCAUUAACUAGUUGGUAAGGUAACGGCUUACCAAGGCAACGAUGCAUAGCCGACCUGAGAGGGUGAUCGGCCACACUGGAACUGAGACACGGUCCAGACUCCUACGGGAGGCAGCAGUAGGGAAUCUUCCGCAAUGGGCGAAAGCCUGACGGAGCAACGCCGCGUGAGUGAUGAAGGUCUUCGGAUCGUAAAACUCUGUUAUUAGGGAAGAACAUAUGUGUAAGUAACUGUGCACAUCUUGACGGUACCUAAUCAGAAAGCCACGGCUAACUACGUGCCAGCAGCCGCGGUAAUACGUAGGUGGCAAGCGUUAUCCGGAAUUAUUGGGCGUAAAGCGCGCGUAGGCGGUUUUUUAAGUCUGAUGUGAAAGCCCACGGCUCAACCGUGGAGGGUCAUUGGAAACUGGAAAACUUGAGUGCAGAAGAGGAAAGUGGAAUUCCAUGUGUAGCGGUGAAAUGCGCAGAGAUAUGGAGGAACACCAGUGGCGAAGGCGACUUUCUGGUCUGUAACUGACGCUGAUGUGCGAAAGCGUGGGGAUCGAACAGGAUUAGAUACCCUGGUAGUCCACGCCGUAAACGAUGAGUGCUAAGUGUUAGGGGGUUUCCGCCCCUUAGUGCUGCAGCUAACGCAUUAAGCACUCCGCCUGGGGAGUACGACCGCAAGGUUGAAACUCAAAGGAAUUGACGGGGACCCGCACAAGCGGUGGAGCAUGUGGUUUAAUUCGAAGCAACGCGAAGAACCUUACCAAAUCUUGACAUCCUUUGACAACUCUAGAGAUAGAGCCUUCCCCUUCGGGGGACAAAGUGACAGGUGGUGCAUGGUUGUCGUCAGCUCGUGUCGUGAGAUGUUGGGUUAAGUCCCGCAACGAGCGCAACCCUUAAGCUUAGUUGCCAUCAUUAAGUUGGGCACUCUAAGUUGACUGCCGGUGACAAACCGGAGGAAGGUGGGGAUGACGUCAAAUCAUCAUGCCCCUUAUGAUUUGGGCUACACACGUGCUACAAUGGACAAUACAAAGGGCAGCGAAACCGCGAGGUCAAGCAAAUCCCAUAAAGUUGUUCUCAGUUCGGAUUGUAGUCUGCAACUCGACUACAUGAAGCUGGAAUCGCUAGUAAUCGUAGAUCAGCAUGCUACGGUGAAUACGUUCCCGGGUCU
rnacentral:rRNA from 1 species